GAUGAACGCUGGCGGCGUGCUUAACACAUGCAAGUCGAACGAAGCACUUUAUUUGAUUUCCUUCGGGACUGAUUAUUUUGUGACUGAGUGGCGGACGGGUGAGUAACGCGUGGGUAACCUGCCUUGUACAGGGGGAUAACAGUUGGAAACGGCUGCUAAUACCGCAUAAGCGCACGGCAUCGCAUGAUGCAGUGUGAAAAACUCCGGUGGUAUAAGAUGGACCCGCGUUGGAUUAGCUAGUUGGUGAGGUAACCGCCCACCAAGGCGACGAUCCAUAGCCGGCGUGAGAGGGUGACCGGCCACAUUGGGACUGAGACACGGCCCAAACUCCUACGGGAGGCAGCAGUGGGGAAUAUUGCACAAUGGGCGAAAGCCUGAUGCAGCGACGCCGCGUGAGCGAAGAAGUAUUUCGGUAUGUAAAGCUCUAUCAGCAGGGAAGAUAAUGACGGUACCUGACUAAGAAGCACCGGCUAAAUACGUG
rnacentral:rRNA from 1 species